GAUGAAGAACGCAGCGAAAUGCGAUAAGUAAUGUGAAUUGCAGAAUUCAGUGAAUCAUCGAAUCUUUGAACGCACAUUGCGCCCGCCAGCAUUCUGGCGGGCAUGCCUGUUCGAGCGUCAUUUCAACCCUCGAGCCCCCCCGGGGGCCUCGGUGUUGGGGGACGGCACACCAGCCGCCCCCGAAAUGCAGUGGCUACCCCGCCGCAGCCUCCCCUGCGUAGUAGCACACACCUCGCACCGGAGCGCGGAGGCGGUCACGCCGUAAAACGCCCAACUUUCUUAGAGUUGACCUCGGAUCAGGUAGGAAUACCCGCUGAACUUAAGCAUAUCAAUAAGCGGAGGA
rnacentral:misc_RNA from 1 species